GUCAGACUGAAUUGAGCUUCAGACAAGGACUACAUCUUCAAAACCUUCAGUGAUGUAAAUUCUUGUGGGAGUGUGAGUUCCUGAACUGAUACAUAAUAUCUACUUUUACUCAGUUAAAAAGAACUGGUUUGGGAAUCUCAGCCCAGAUCUGUACAGAUUUGCAAAGACACCGCUAAAAACAUCUCCUGUGUCUUCACUGACAUUAUUCAAAACCUGGGAGUUCUUCUGAUUUUCCUAGAAGGGGGCUAUAUAGAAAGGAUUUUUCUAUUGGGAAGGAGAGUAAAGCAGCCUUGUUCUCCUACUUGUUAAUUUGAAUCAAUGCAUUUUGUAUUAACUUCCUGUAGUAUAAGGACUUGCCCUUCCAGGUACUUGUAGUGCAGAAUCACAUCAAGUGUGUCUCUAUGGAAAUCUCUGAAUGUUAAAAAAAAAAAAUAAAAAAUUGCUUUGUGCAGUGUGUUACUUAUUU
rnacentral:lncRNA from 1 species